rnacentral:rRNA from 1 species
GACGAACGCUGGCGGCGUGCCUAACACAUGCAAGUCGAACGGAGAUAUCCUUCGGGGUAUCUUAGUGGCGAACGGGUGAGUAACGCGUGGGUAACCUGCCCUUUUAUCGGGGAUAACUUGCCGAAAGGUGAGCUAAUACCGGAUGUCCUAUGUUGAUCACCUGAUUAAGAUAGCAAAGGUGGCCUCUUUAAAUGCUACCGUAAAAGGAUGGACCCGCGUCUGAUUAGCUAGUUGGUGAGGUAAAGGCUCACCAAGGCGACGAUCAGUAGCCGGCCUGAGGGGGUGAACGGCCACACUGGGACUGAGACACGGCCCAGACUCCUACGGGAGGCAGCAGUGGGGAAUCUUCCGCAAUGGAUGAAAGUCUGACGGAGCAACGCCGCGUGAGAGAUGAAGGUCUUCGGAUUGUAAAACUCUGUUUUUUGGGACGAACGGCUCAUAUGUGAACAAUGUAUGAGAUUGACGGUACCAAAGGAGGAAGCCCCGGCUAACUACGUGCCAGCCGCCGCCGUAA